rnacentral:rRNA from 1 species
GUAGGUGGCAAGCGUUGUCCGGAAUUAUUGGGCGUAAAGCGCGCGCAGGCGGUCCUUUAAGUCUGAUGUGAAAGCCCACGGCUCAACCGUGGAGGGUCAUUGGAAACUGGGGGACUUGAGUACAGAAGAGGAAAGCGGAAUUCCAAGUGUAGCGGUGAAAUGCGUAGAGAUUUGGAGGAACACCAGUGGCGAAGGCGGCUUUCUGGUCUGUAACUGACGCUGAGGCGCGAAAGCGUGGGGUAGCAAACAGGGAUUAGAUACCCUGGUAGUCCACGCCGUAAACGAUGAGUGCUAAGUGUUAGGGGUUUCCCGCCCCCUUAGCGCUGCAGCUAACGCAUUAAGCACUCCGCCUGGGGAGUACGGCCGCAAGGCUG